rnacentral:rRNA from 1 species
AUUGAACGCUGGCGGCAUGCCUUACACAUGCGAGUCGAACGGCAUCGCGGGAAAGCUUGCUUUCCUGGCGGCGAGUGGCGAACGGGUGAGUAACACAUCGGAACGUACCGGCUAGUGGGGGAUAACCCGUCGAAAGACGGGCUAAUACCGCAUACGCUCUUCGGAGGAAAGCAGGGGACCUUUGGGCCUUGCGCUAGCCGAGCGGCCGAUGUCCGAUUAGCUAGUUGGUGGGGUAAAGGCCUACCAAGGCGACGAUCGGUAGCGGGUCUGAGAGGACGAUCCGCCACACUGGGACUGAGACACGGCCCAGACUCCUACGGGAGGCAGCAGUGGGGAAUCUUGGACAAUGGGGGCAACCCUGAUCCAGCAAUGCCGCGUGGGUGAAGAAGGCCUUCGGGUUGUAAAGCCCUUUCGGCAGGGAAGAAAUCGGCGGGGCGAAUAACCCUGCUGGAUGACGGUACCUGCAGAAGAAGCACCGGCUAACUACGU